UGCAGUCGAGCGGACAGAUGGGAGCUUGCUCCCUGAUGUUAGCGGCGGACGGGUGAGUAACACGUGGGUAACCUGCCUGUAAGACUGGGAUAACUCCGGGAAACCGGGGCUAAUACCGGAUGGUUGUUUGAACCGCAUGGUUCAGACAUAAAAGGUGGCUUCGGCUACCACUUACAGAUGGACCCGCGGCGCAUUAGCUAGUUGGUGAGGUAACGGCUCACCAAGGCGACGAUGCGUAGCCGACCUGAGAGGGUGAUCGGCCACACUGGGACUGAGACACGGCCCAGACUCCUACGGGAGGCAGCAGUAGGGAAUCUUCCGCAAUGGACGAAAGUCUGACGGAGCAACGCCGCGUGAGUGAUGAAGGUUUUCGGAUCGUAAAGCUCUGUUGUUAGGGAAGAACAAGUGCCGUUCAAAUAGGGCGGCACCUUGACGGUACCUAACCAGAAAGCCACGGCUAACUACGUGCCAGCAGCCGCGGUAAUACGUAGGUGGCAAGCGUUGUCCGGAAUUAUUGGGCGUAAAGGGCUCGCAGGCGGUUUCUUAAGUCUGAUGUGAAAGCCCCCGGCUCAACCGGGGAGGGUCAUUGGAAACUGGGGAACUUGAGUGCAGAAGAGGAGAGUGGAAUUCCACGUGUAGCGGUGAAAUGCGUAGAGAUGUGGAGGAACACCAGUGGCGAAGGCGACUCUCUGGUCUGUAACUGACGCUGAGGAGCGAAAGCGUGGGGAGCGAACAGGAUUAGAUACCCUGGUAGUCCACGCCGUAAACGAUGAGUGCUAAGUGUU
rnacentral:rRNA from 1 species